GGGGGCAGGGCACGACCUUUUAAAAAAUGACACGGCCUGGAGUUCCCAUCGUGGCUCAGAGGUUAACGAACCUGACUAGCAUCAUGAGGACGCAGGUUCGAAGAUCCCUGGCUCGGUGGGUUAAGGAUCCGGCAUUGCCCUGGUCUGCGGUGGAGGUUGCAAGGCGGCUCAGAUCCCAUGUUGCUGUGGCUGUGGUGUCAGCCGGCAGCUGUAGCUCCUAUUUGACCCCUAGCCUGGGACCCUCUCUGUGCCUCGGGUGCAGCCCUAAAAAGCAAAGAAACAAAAAACAACCUUUCGAUAUUUAGACGACCUGGUCUUUGUUGCAGAAACCCGUGUAGAGCCUGGCUACCCUCUUACCCCUUCAGAGCAGUCCCUUAGAACCACCUGAGAGGCUGGCCCCCAGGCUUGACGUCCUCAGGAUGCCACUGAGUAAAACAUAAUUCCCAGCUUGUAGGUUGUGCACUUUUUUCAGUGCACACUCCCCACUGUGCUUCUGCUGUUAGUACUUCCUUACAUAUGUGUUAGCACAAGUUCACGUGCCCAGCGCACAGGGAGGCUGAAACUGACAGCACUUAGCACUUGAACCCACAAUUUUUGAAUGAGAAUCACGCUCCCAGUGUCUGGAUACACUGAGGUUCAGGUUCUGGGUGCCUCUGGCAGAAUGACUUCAGCGAGAGACAGAGUGACAGGCGAGAAGUAGAUUUAUUAAAACGGGAUGCUCGUGAGAGAUGCAAGCAGGCAGGCGACGAGGCUCUGCCCCAGGAUCGGGUGGGCUGCAGUUUUACCCUCCAAGGGGAGAAGGGGUGGGAAAAGACCGCCUCUUCUCCUUUCUUCCAGUGGUAGCUCCUCCUUGGUAUCUGGAAAGAGAGUAUCUGACCCUAUGAGGUCAGACUAGCACUGACCCGGUGCUUAUUCAAAUCAGCGGAAGGGAGGUCCUUAAACUCCUGCCCUCGGUCUGAACUUGAAUGCAGGCCUCAUGCCCCCCCCUCCAUGACCUGAGGCAUAUCUCCUGCCCCCACCAUAGUCAAGCAAGCCUGCCUCGCUCAGAUGGCUUUCUCGAGCAGUUAUUAACUUACAGCGUCUCCCAAAGUCCCCUGGGCUUCCCUCUCUGUCUAGGGUCCCUUACCGGGACUUCCGCAGCUACCCGUGUGAUUGUCCUUCUCCAACCCCAUCAAGGCCGAACAAGCUGAAACGUCGGCGUGUGGAGCAGAGAAAGCCAGAAACUGACCCCUCUCCAACGCGAGCCAACCUGAGCAUUUGGGAUUCGCAGCCUCUACAACUGAUGGGGCCAGAGUUAAGAGACACGGCAGUGUUCAAAGAAGUUCAUCCCACUAGGGGACCAUAAAUAGAAAGAAGGGAUAUGGGAGACCCAUGUAAGUCAGUGACCUCUCAAGAGAAGGAGCCACGAGGGACGGGGACAAGGUACAGCCCUUCCAGAAUGACACCAAAAACUGGUGAGAACCAACUGGGUCCAAGGUGGCAGGUGGGCUGACUCCCCCUGGGCCUUGAGCCCUUUACACCCACCGUAAACUUCAGCAGCUGAAUAACACGCCGCAGGCGCCGAGCCAGCUCUGAGCCUGCCCAGAGGAAGCCAGAGAGUGGGCGGCGGCCCACCUCCAGGAAGUCCCCGCCCCUUCCUGGAAACAGUUGGAAGACUCCUCCCACUCCUGCAAUUGCCCAGCUCAUAAAAGCUCAACACCCCAUAUAUUGGGGCCUCUCACCUCUGAGACAGCCCAUACUUUAUCCCUCUCAAUAAACCUUCAAUAAUCUUAUUAAAGUAGAUUUAUUUCA
rnacentral:lncRNA from 9 species